CGACGCCUUUAGACGACGGUCAAUUUCUGCCGCGAACAUCUUUUCCCCAAUCUAACUAACGGUUAUGUAGAAAACCUUAACACCGCUCAAAAAUUAAAAAAUCCUUCCAUCACCUAAUCGCUCAGUUAAAUUGGUGAAGGUAAUUGUUCAACCCAGAAGUUCUGAUAAAGAGACCCAGUUGAAGCCCUAGCUUUUCUGGUGGAAGGCAAUUGACACCAAUGUCGAAUUUUCAGUCAACAAUUGCAGUUUUGCUUGGCUCCACUUGGUGGUAGCUUUUCACCUGACUUCCAAGACCACCAUCUCAUCUACUCUUCAAUAGCUAACUGCCACUCAAGGGUUGGAUAGGAAGUCUGCUUUCUCUGCAGGAUCUUAUGAGCUUCAUGCUAGUUGUGCUAAGAUUGAGUGGCGUGGCAUCCUUAUUUGACCCAAUUUUCAAUGAGAUCACAUCCCAAGGUGGAUGGUCUUUUUACGUGUCAUGGAGUGUAUGCCGCCAUGCGAAUUGCGUGUCGUGUUAGUUUUUAUUUUUUAUUUUUUAUUUUGUAGUACGAGGGUAGGGGAGGUUCGAACUUGGAACCUCUUCCAACAUUGGGAAGAGAAAUACGAACAAACCAAGAGCUACUUGGUGCAUGUCGUGCUAUAUUUGCUUUGGUGAUCUGAAAUUUAUGACUAAAUGCCAUUUUAUUAGUCUUAGGUGACUUAAAUUACUAUAUUGGAAGAUGUUCAUGGAUGUUCUGAGCAAGUUCUUUUUUAUGAAUGAUAGUCUUGAGCCUAGGAAUUGUUGGACCGUAGAAUUCCAUAUGAUGGCGACAGUUAGGCGAUUUAGCUGUAUUUCUUUGAUUUUACUAAAAUCUAUUACCAUUUUUCCAAGGUGGCUCAUAUCCGGUUUAACAACAUGUGGUGAUUGUUUAAUGAAAUUCAACCUGAUUUGGAACAUGUUUACAGUGUAAAACAUCUACUGGCUGCCAUCUUUGAUAUAUUAUCUUUUUUAUGGA